GACGAACGCUGGCGGCGUGCUUAACACAUGCAAGUCGAACGGAAAGGCCCAGCUUGCUGGGUGCUCGAGUGGCGAACGGGUGAGUAACACGUGGGUGAUCUGCCUCUAACUUCGGGAAAAGCUUGGGAAACUGGGUCUAAUACCGGAUAGGACAAUCGUUUAGUGUCGGUUGUGGAAAGUUUUUUCGGUUAGGGAUGAGCCCGCGGCCUAUCAGCUUGUUGGUGGGGUAAUGGCCUACCAAGGCGUCGACGGGUAGCCGGCCUGAGAGGGUGGACGGCCACAUUGGGACUGAGAUACGGCCCAGACUCCUACGGGAGGCAGCAGUGGGGAAUAUUGCACAAUGGGCGCAAGCCUGAUGCAGCGACGCCGCGUGGGGGAUGACGGCCUUCGGGUUGUAAACCUCUUUCGACAGGGACGAAGCUUUGGUGACGGUACCUGUAUAAGAAGCACCGGCUAACUACGUG
rnacentral:rRNA from 1 species